GGUGGCUCCCGGGAGGUGGCGCCGCGCGGGGAGCGAGCCUGGGGUGGGCGCGCGAGCGGGUGUGUCUGGCUGUGCCUGGCCCUGAGUGCUGCGGGGUGGCGGUAGCCCCAGGCGGAGGGCAUGCUCUGCGGGUCCCUCGGCUCCACCUGCUGGACACGGCGGGCAGGCCGGGUGCGGGCCGCGAACUCGGGAGCGGGGCAGGGCGGGCGGCCGCAGGAGGAGGAGGAGCCGGGAGCGCGGCGGGAGGACGCCGGCCCUCGGGAGCGGCCGCUAACUUAACCCAGCUGGCGUCGGCGAAACCGGGGCCGCGCCGCCCCCUCCCGGCUGACGCCGGCGCCCGCCGAGCACCCUCCGCCCGGGGACUGCGGCCAGGGCCAUGGGGCCCCCGGCGCCCGCGCCGCCUCGCGGAGGCCUGCACGCUUGCGGUGGCCCCGCAGGGGGCCCGCUGCUGGGUAGGGUAAACACAAGACGUGAAGAGUAGUGAAAGGGAUCAGCGGUUGCCAAAGUGGCCUGAGAGGAAAGACUGGUCAACAUUGUGUGGACAACCCUGUACUGUUUUCCAAAGAUGCUGUUGAAGUAGUCUUAACACAGCCUGCCUUCACUCUGCCAAAGCUCUACAUCAUGGGCUGCAUGAAGUCAAAGCAAACGUUCCCAUUUCCUACCACAUUAGACAUUGAAAGGGUACAUGAGAGUGAAGAAGCAUUUAUCCCAGAGGAAAGCUUUCAACAUACAGUCCCUUCUUUAAGCCAACCCCAAGUCCAGGAGGAAGUGAAGAAACACCCAGAGCCUGCUAAUAUGGUCCUUGAAUACGCAGAACAUCUGGCCAAGGAAAUUGUGCAGGAUGCCUUGAAGCAGUGGGCAUGUGAGAACAUCAAAUACUCCAACAUCCCAUUCAUCGAGAGUGAAGGCUCUGACACCGCCAUUGGAUGAUAAUACUCUGCUGUGCUCUGGAUGUAGUCGGUGCUAAUUUAAAUACAUGAACCAAGUUUUAAAACUCCAUCUGGAUGUAAAACCAUGUCUGUGAUAAUAUUAGUGUAGGGAUGCUGAUGAUGAAGUGUAAUUUUAAGCAGUUCUACUAUGUUAACAUCAAUGUAUAUCUGCUUGAUCUUGAAUUUUGGUUGUAAAAGGUCUGGACAAAGGUCUUAUGCCAUGUCAUUAGCUGUCUGUCAUACCAUGCUCUUCCUGAGGCAGUAAUGACAUCACCAAAGAAAAUGUUGACUAAAACGUGCCUAAGUUCCAAAUGGUUAGUUUAAGGGAUUGACUUUAAAAUGACUAUUUCUGUUAAUUUAUACCCAAAAAAACAACAAAACAAAAACCAAAAACACAGAACAUGAAAAGGGUUUCCUUAAAAUGUCUCAGCAAGGAAUGAACUCCAGCCACAGUGAUCCAUAGUAUGCCUGUUGUUAAAACCAUUUGUGUCAGGGAUUGCCCACUUCCUGACACCUGUAACCUAACAUUAGGAACCACCAGUGAAGAGGGCUGCCUUGAAUGCUGUUCUCAGUAGAAAGUCAGUAGGAAGUCUUAUUUUUGUAGAUGGAAAGAAUAACACCCACCUUGAGCCUCAGGGUCCUGCCACAAAUGUUACUGGAGGAUUUUAACUUUGCGUGUUAUGGCCAUCUUUAAAAGAUAAUUUACAGAAGUCAUGACAACUUCAUUGCAUUGAAAUAUGCUCUUUGUUAUCUUUCAUCCAGUAGGUCUUGAAAAUGAGAGACACCUAGUCUGCAAGGUGAACCUUGAAGCUGGUGUCAUGGCUUACUGUGUGUAGAGCCUCACUGCAGUGCUGGUGCAGGGGUGCAGGAGCUGAUGGUCCAAGAGGACUUGUAAUUCUCCUAAGAGUAGGACAGAACUUUCCUCCCAAAGGGAGCACCUAUGUGGGAUUUAGCAAUCUCUCGAGCCAUAUAUUCUCCCGAAUGGAGAACUUGUGUGGGUUUUAGCAGUCAUGCAUGCCCACAAAGCACUUUUAGCCAUAUAUUGCAGAAGUGUUCUAAAUUAGGCAUUUUAAAAACUAUCAUAGAAUAUACACUUUUUAUUUUUUAAAGAACUUAACUAUUUAAAGCUCAGUAGUAAUAAAAGACUUAGGACAAAGUCAAUAGGAAAAUGGGACUGAGUGUCUAGAAUGAUCAAUGAACUGUGCUAAGCAGAGAGUGAGGGGAAAUGGGGUCCAUCUACACCUGCCCCUCAGUGACAUGGUUUAUCAGCAUUUUUGAAACUCAAAACCAUUGGAGAAAGGCUUCUGGUAUCACGUGAGCUAAAUAAGUUCUUGGCUUUGUCCAUAGUAAGAAAUACUGCCUCUAGUUUUAACAGUCGAACAGUGUGAAGCCUCCAGGUUUUAGAAGCAGAGAGGUCAUUAAAAUGAGCAACAGGUCAUCUUUCAGUUUGCUUUCAGAAAUCUGACCGUUGUGGAGUCACAGUACUCCACCCCACCUGUAAUCGAACAGCUUAGACAACUGUAAGCAACCACACCUGUUUCUAUGACCAUCUGCACAUAAGGCACAGUGCAGAGUGCUUCCCAUAAUGUCCAGUUCAUGGAACACUCUAGAGUUUCCAAUUCUGUACUGACAAUUCAGGCAAAAGCCUAGAUUAUAAUGUUUUCCACUCAUCUAGCUUCUCAUAUGAGGAUACCUGUUACAAGGUUUCUUGUUAUUUAAAAUAUAUAAUUAAGUAUACAAAAUAAUAUAUAUGUUGGUCAGAACAUGAAGACAUAGUCUACCUAGGGAUACUGGCAAGUGGGUUUGGUUUAUAUGAGAGUAUUUCAACUUCAAGUUUCCUCUUUGUCCCACAUCAAUUCCAAUGGUGGAGCAAGAGUGCGUACCGUCUCUGCUACCCUCUUUCAGCAACUCUGAUGAGCAGUUUUACUGUGAAAGCAAGCACUGUGUGCUCACCUUGACUUUAAUGAAAAUAUAUACAUAAUAAUCUUCUAAAAGACUUACCUUUACAACACAUGAGAACUGUAUGUCAGCCCAUGAACAAGGAACCACAAAGCUUAUUAGAGAGGUGAAUAAACUGUGUGUGAGUAAAAAGUUGAACACACUUUAUACCACACUGGAUAGUAUCGGGGUAUAGUUUCGCCUUGCUGAGAACAAGGCAUCUUUCAUAAGGGGUCAGCCUUCUUUCCUGCCUUUGUAUUCAUCAUCUGAGCCUUGUUUGAGGUCUUUCAUUAGGAAGAAGAGCACUAAGAAGAAGGGACCCAUGAACUGACCCACUCAUUAGCAGGGACAUGUAGAACACCAGUGUAAGGGCAGAGGGACUGCUACUGCACAUGGCCUCAGGGACAUCUGUGGAGGAAACCAAUGUGCCAAUUCCGAAUUUGCUGACUCAAAAUGCCACGGUGUGUGUCACUGCUCCUCCCUGUUGUCUCUUGUUGAUAAAGGCCUUUGAUGCUAGAAUUCUCCCAUCUUAGUUUCCUUAUCAGUUCUUUACCAACUACCUGUGGUUAUUAUCACUUCAAGGACAAUUUUGAAGGGACAGGCAAGAUUAUCUUAAGCCCCCAAAAUCUGUAUCAAGCUCUCAUAAGCAUUAAAAAUAAAUUCACAGAAAUAGCAUGAUAUACACAUCCUACUUAAUCACCACUGGCAUUCGGUGAGAUGGGACAAAGUAUACUUUUGAAUCAUAUUAUUUUAGAAAUAUGAAGUUAGACAUGUAUAAAUGGUCAAGAAGCAGUAAUGUAUAUGUAAUGUCUAUAUAAACAUAGUAUAUAUGUUAAAUGACCUAGCAAGCCAUGUGUUUCUUCCUUGGAGCCAUAAAUACUAGCUUCAAAGAAUUAGCUGUUACUUUAUUCACAAAAUUCAGGUUUUAUUAGCAAAUGCCCCGUAAGAAUUAACUCUGAAGUGGUAUUUUUUUCCCCAAAUAUUUUUGUGAAAAAAAUUUUUUGUAACUAUAAUAAAAGUCCAAUCGCAAUUA